ensembl:misc_RNA Metazoa_SRP Metazoan signal recognition particle RNA
GUCGGGCAUGGUGGCACAGGCCUGUAGUUCCAGCUACUUGGGAGGCUGAGGUGGGAGGAUCGCUUGAGCCCAGGAGUUCUGGGCUGUAGUGUGGUAUGCCGAUUGGGUGGGUGUCUGCACUAAGUUCAGCAUCAAUAUGAUGACCUCCCAGGAGCGGGGACCACCAGGUUGCCUAAGGACUGGUGAACUGGCCCAGGUCAGAAAUGGAGCAGGUCAAAACUCCCAUGCUGAUCAGUAGUGGGAUCGCCCCUGUGAAUAGCCACUGCACUCCAGCCUGAGCAAUAUAGCAAGACCCUGUCUCUU